rnacentral:rRNA from 1 species
UACGGGGGGAGCAAGCGUUGUUCGGAUUUACUGGGCGUAAAGGGCUCGUAGGCGGCCAACUAAGUCCGACGUGAAAUCCCCAGGCUUAACCUGGGAACUGCGUCGGAUACUGGAUGGCUUGAAUCCGGGAGAGGGAUGCGGAAUUCCAGGUGUAGCGGUGAAAUGCGUAGAUAUCUGGAGGAACACCGGUGGCGAAGGCGGCAUCCUGGACCGGUAUUGACGCUGAUGCGCGAAAGCCAGGGGAGCAAACGGG